UUUCCUUGCUCCUUUCCCCGUCCUUAUCUCUUUGCUCCCCUGAGCCACUGCAACACUAUUACCCUGCUCUCCGCCGCUGGCCUGCCACCUCUGGCCUUGAGCGUCGCCGCGUCUCUGGCUCGCCGUAGAUAUCUUGGUGGAUUGUUGGAAGGGGAAUAAAGAGAAUAGAAUCGUGGAGUAUAAGUGGAUAUCGAUGAUCGAAUGUGUAUCUUCUGGAGUUCAUAUGCGUUGUUGAUUCAAGGUUAUUACAUUAGCAUGGCUCACACGCAUGUGAAAGUUUCAGAAUACAAAGAACAAUGAACAAGAAAAGGUUAUGAAAGCCCAUCAAUGAUGUUUCUAUGGAAACUUCUUGGUAGGAAAGUUGAAGAGGAUGUACAAAAAGUUAAGGAAGAACUUUUGUAGAUCUAUCCGAAAAUUAACAUAAAAUACACCCAGAAAGAGAAAAGCUUAUAUCUUUCAAACUAUCCAGUUGAUGUAUCACAAGGUCUUAUAUUGUACUAAGUCCUAUGUCUUCUGCCUAUCUUUUGUUUAUUAAAUUCUUCUUUAUCUUGUCGUGUGUAUAAGUAAUUUCAAUGCACAACUUUUACAUAUACGCACAUUGAGUAUUGGACCAAAUUUGGUGCCAUGUAGCAACUCCUAGCCAUAGCGCGCGCGCACGCGCGACCAGGGGCGGUUCAACUAAACCCUUACUGGACAGAGAAAAACGUUAUAUACUGUUAACCACUAUGAUGUAUCAUAAAUAAACCAACUAGUGCAGUGGU